rnacentral:tRNA from 1 species
GCCCUCGUGGCCUAAUGGAUAAGGCAUCGGUCUCCUAAACCGGGGAUUGCGGGUUCGAGUCCCGCCGUGGGUA